CCUGGUGUGAUGUCGAGCAGGAGAAAAGAAGAAGAGGGAGCCAAUUUCAUCAUGACAAUCACAAAAUUGGAUGGUUAAAACUCCAACUCUGCUCUCUUUGAUCAAUUUCUAGCAUUCUUGGUGAAAUAAUGUCUGGAUGGCAACGGGUCAAACGAGUAAUAAAGCAACAACACUCCAACGGGCGAAGGUGAGUGACUCGAAUGUGUUUGGAGUCGUAUUGAUUUAAAUAGACUUAUUGUUGACUUUAGUUUUAUUAGUUAUGGUGGUUUAAUACAACUUAUUGAGUAUGGUUUAACUUAACAAUAAGGUAUUGUUUUAGCGA